CUCCUCUGUCCCUGGGCGUGGUUCGGAGCCCUCGGGGGGUUUACAGGAAUCCUGAUGAGGGAAUUUGGGUGAUCCCGGGGGUGGAAUUGGGGGUCCCAAGGCUGUUUUGGGGAACCUGCUGGUGAUGGAGAUGGGGACCCCAUGCCAGAGCCUCUAAAUGGAUGAGCAGAGCUCGGUGACUGCAGUAUGAAACUUGUUC